UACGAAGGGGGCUAGCGUUGCUCGGAAUCACUGGGCGUAAAGCGCACGUAGGCGGAUUCCUAAGUCGGGGGUGAAAUCCUGGAGCUCAACUCCAGAACUGCCUUCGAUACUGGGAAUCUUGAGUCCGGAAGAGGUGAGUGGAACUGCGAGUGUAGAGGUGAAAUUCGUAGAUAUUCGGAAGAACACCAGUGGCGAAGGCGACUCACUGGCCCGUUACUGACGCUGAGGCGCGAAAGCGUGGGGAGCAAACAGG
rnacentral:rRNA from 1 species